AUUCAGGCUGUCAUCUAUCUUACC
rnacentral:miRNA from 1 species